ACGUUUGAGAUUUGAGAGGGGCUGCUCCUAGUACGAGAGGACCGGAGUGGACGAACCUCUGGUGUUCCGGUUGUCACGCCAGUGGCACUGCCGGGUAGCUAUGUUCGGAAGAGAUAACCGCUGAAAGCAUCUAAGCGGGAAACUUGCCUCAAGAUGAGAUCUCACUGGAGCCUCGAGCUCCCUGAAGGGCCGUCGAAGACUACGACGUUGAUAGGCAGGGUGUGUAAGCGUUGUGAGGCGUUGAGCUAACCUGUACUAAUUGCCCGUGAGGCUUGACCAUAUAACACCCAAACAAUU
rnacentral:rRNA from 1 species